rnacentral:rRNA from 1 species
UACGUAGGGUGCAAGCGUUAUUCGGAAUUACUGGGCGUAAAGCGUGCGCAGGCGGUGGUGUAGGCCAGGUGUGAAAUCCCCGGGCUCAACCUGGGAACUGCAUUUGUGACUGCAUCGCUGGAGUGCGGCAGAGGGGGAUGGAAUGCCGCGUGUAGCAGUGAAAUGCGUAGAUAUGCGGAGGAACACCGAUGGCGAAGGCAAUCCCCUGGGCCUGCACUGACGCUCAUGCACGAAAGCGUGGGGAGCAAACAGG